rnacentral:miRNA from 1 species
UUAGAUGACCAUCAGCGAACA